AUUGAACGCUGGCGGCAGGCCUAACACAUGCAAGUCGAACGGUAACAGGAAGAAGCUUGCUUCUUUGCUGACGAGUGGCGGACGGGUGAGUAAUGUCUGGGAAACUGCCUGAUGGAGGGGGAUAACUACUGGAAACGGUAGCUAAUACCGCAUAACGUCGCAAGACCAAAGAGGGGGACCUUCGGGCCUCUUGCCAUCGGAUGUGCCCAGGUGGGAUUAGCUAGUAGGUGGGGUAACGGCUCACCUAGGCGACGAUCCCUAGCUGGUCUGAGAGGAUGACCAGCCACACUGGAACUGAGACACGGUCCAGACUCCUACGGGAGGCAGCAGUGGGGAAUAUUGCACAAUGGGCGCAAGCCUGAUGCAGCCAUGCCGCGUGUAUGAAGAAGGCCUUCGGGUUGUAAAGUACUUUCAGCGGGGAGGAAGGGAGUAAAGUUAAUACCUAUGCUCAUUGACGUUACCCGCAGAAGAAGCACCGGCUAACUCCGUG
rnacentral:rRNA from 1 species